rnacentral:rRNA from 1 species
AGUGAACGCUGGCGGCAGGCCUAACACAUGCAAGUCGAACGGCAGCACGGCAGUAGCAAUACUGUGGGUGGCGAGUGGCGGACGGGUGAGGAAUACAUCGGGAUCUACCCUGUUGUGGGGGAUGACGUAGGGAAACUUACGCUAAUACCGCAUAAGAACUGAGGUUGAAAGCGGCGGACCGCAAGGCGUCGCGCGAUUGGAUGAACCGAUGUCCGAUUAGCUAGUUGCGGGUAAAGGCCCACCAAGGCGACGAUCGGUAGCUGGUCUGAGAGGACGACCAGCCACACUGGAACUGAGACACGGUCCAGACUCCUACGGAGGCAGCAGUGGGGAAUAUUGGACAAUGGCGCAAGGCCUGAUCCAGCCAUGCCGCGUGGGUGAA